rnacentral:lncRNA from 1 species
GGAAGAAGAGGAGGAAGAAGAGGAGAAGAGGAAGAAACCAUCAUCCAAAAAUGGGGUGAAAACGGGCAAAAAGAUGAGUGAGAGCGAGAAAAAACAGCCUGUGAGAAAUGGGGCGAAAAGGGUAAAAAUAGAGAGUGACGAAGAGGAAGAGGAAAACGAGGAGGAAGAAGAUGAUGAUGAGGAAGAGGAGGAGGAAGAGGAGAAGAGGAAGAAGCCACCCUCCAAAAAUGGGGUGAAAACGGGCAAAAAGAGGAGUGAGAAAAACCAGGCUGUGAGAAAUGGGGCGAAAAGGGUAAAAAUAGAGAGUGAUGAAGACAAAGAUGAAGAGGAAGAGGAGGAGGAUGAAGAGGAGGAGGAAGAGAAGAGGAAGAAGCCGCCCCCCAAGAAUGAGGAGAAAAAGGAGAAAAAGAGGAGUGAGAGUGAGAAAAAACGGCCCAUGAAAAAUGGGCGGAAAAGGGUCAAAACGGAGAGUGAGGAAGAGGAGGAGGAAGAAGAGGAGGAAGAGGAGGAAAAGAGGAAGAAGUCACCCCCCCAAAAUGGGGUGAAAACGGGCAAAAAGAGGAGCGAGAGCGAGAAAAACCAGGCUGUGAGAAAUGGGCGGAAAAGGGUCGAAACGGAGAGUGAGGAAGAGGAGGAGGAGGAGGAAGAAGAGGAGGAGGAUGAGGACGAGGAGGAGGAUGAUGAGGAAGAGGAGGAGAAGAGGAAGAAGCCGCCCUCCAAAAAUGGGGUGAAAACGGGCAAAAAGAGGAACGAGAGCGAGAAAAACCAGGCUGUGAGAAAUGGGCGGAAAAGGGUCGAAACGGAGAGUGAGGAAGAGGAGGAGGAGGAGGAAGAAGAGGAGGAAGACAAGAGGAAGAAGCCGCCCCCCAAAAACGAGGAGAAAAAGGAGAAAAAGAGGAGUGAGAGUGAGAAAAAACGGCCCGUGAAAAAUGGGCGGAAAAAGGUCGAAACGGAGAGUGAGGAAGAGGAGGAGGAAGAAGAGGAAAAGAGGAAGAAGUCACCCCCCCAAAAUGGGGUGAAAACAGGCAAAAAGAGGAGCGAGAGUGAGAAAAAACAGGCUGUGAGAAAUGGGCGGAAAAGGGUCGAAACGGAGAGUGAGGAAGAGGAGGAGGAGGAGGAGGAAGAAGAGGAAAAGAGGAAGAAACGGUCCCCUAAAAAUGGGGUGGAAACGGGCAAAAAGAGGAGUGAGAGCGAGAAGAAACAACCUGUGAAAAAUGGGGCCAAAGGAGUGAAAAUGGACAGCGAGGAAGAGGAUGAAGAAGAUGAAGAGGAGGAGGAGGAAGAAGAAGAGAAGAAGAAACCAACUUCCGAAAAUGAGGAGAAAAAGGGCAAAAAGAGGAGCGAGAAAAAAAUGGGUCUGAAAAACGGGCGGAAAAGAGGGAAAAUAGAGAGCGAGGAAGAGGAGGAGGAAGAGGAGGAGGAGGAAGAAGAGGAAGAAAAGAGGAAGAAGCCGCCCCCCAAAAACGAGGAGAAAAAGGGCAAAAAGAGGAAAGAGACUGAGAAAAAAACGGGUGUGAAAAAUGGGCGGAAAAGGGGGAAAACGGAGAGUGAGGAAGAGGAGGAAGAGGAGGAGGAAGAGCCCCCCCCCAGCGACUCGGACGAGGACCUCCCCCUAAAUGAGGAGAAAAAGGGCAAAAAGAGGAGCGAGAAAAAAAUGGGUCUGAAAAACGGGCGGAAAAGAGGGAAAAUAGAGAGCGAGGAAGAG